GACCUGGAGCUGUUGUUUCAUGAGGAAUUUACCUUUAAUGUGGUUUCACAUCAUGAGUUCCUAUCGUCGCUUGAGUACAUUGAGUUUGCGGGUCUCUUCAACGGCAAGGCUGCCAAGGACGUCUAAGUUUGGUAUAUGAGGAUGUUGUAGAGUUUUGAAAGCAGGACAAGUCUUCAACAUUUCUGUCAACCGCGAGUUUCAAGGCAAAAUAUGCUGGGAAGGAUGCUUUUUUCAAUUCAAUAAUACAAACUCUGUUAGCUUGAGUUGAAAUAUGCUACUGCUAUAAGGUUGUCUUGAACUAGCUCUGGGAGGUUGAAUUGAGCUAUACUAUGAUGAUAUAACUUCUGAUCUGAAGUGACUAAGUUCUUAUGGUUACCUGCAAUCCUUUUUUUGAUCUA